AGAGUUUGAUCCUGGCUCAGGAUGAACGCUGGCGGCGUGCUUAACACAUGCAAGUCGAGCGAAGCGAUUUAAGUGAAGUUUUCGGAUGGAUCUUAAAUUGACUGAGCGGCGGACGGGUGAGUAACGCGUGGAUAACCUGCCUCACACAGGGGGAUAACAGUUAGAAAUGACUGCUAAUACCGCAUAAGCGCACGGUACCGCAUGGUACAGUGUGAAAAACUCCGGUGGUGUGAGAUGGAUCCGCGUCUGAUUAGGUAGUUGGUGAGGUAACGGCCCACCAAGCCGACGAUCAGUAGCCGACCUGAGAGGGUGACCGGCCACAUUGGGACUGAGACACGGCCCAAACUCCUACGGGAGGCAGCAGUGGGGAAUAUUGCACAAUGGGCGAAAGCCUGAUGCAGCAACGCCGCGUGAGUGAAGAAGUAUCUCGGUAUGUAAAGCUCUAUCAGCAGGGAAGAAAAUGACGGUACCUGACUAAGAAGCCCCGGCUAACUACGUGCCAGCAGCCGCGGUAAUACGUAGGGGGCAAGCGUUAUCCGGAUUUACUGGGUGUAAAGGGAGCGCAGACGGCACUGCAAGUCUGAAGUGAAAGCCCGGGGCUCAACCCCGGGACUGCUUUGGAAACUGUAGAGCUAGAGUGCUGGAGAGGCAAGCGGAAUUCCUAGUGUAGCGGUGAAAUGCGUAGAUAUUAGGAAGAACACCAGUGGCGAAGGCGGCUUGCUGGACAGUAACUGACGUUCAGGCUCGAAAGCGUGGGGAGCAAACAGGAUUAGAUACCCUGGUAGUCCACGCCGU
rnacentral:rRNA from 1 species